CUCCAGACUCCUACGGGAGGCAGCAGUGGGGAAUAUUGGGCAAUGGGCGCAAGCCUGACCCAGCAAUGCCGCGUGAAGGAGGAAGGCCCUCGGGUUGUAAACUUCUUUUAUCAGGGACGAAGGAUGUGACGGUACCUGAUGAAUAAGCUCCGGCUAACUACGUGCCAGCAGCCGCGGUAAUACGUAGGGAGCAAGCGUUAUCCGGAUUUACUGGGUGUAAAGGGCGCGUAGGCGGGAUGGCAAGUCAGAUGGGAAACCCGGGGCUCAACCCCUGAACUGCAUUUGAAACUGUCGCUCUUGAGUACUGGAGAGGUUGACGGAAUUCCUAGUGUAGCGGUGAAAUGCGUAGAUAUUAGGAGGAACACCAGUGGCGAAGGCGGUCAACUGGACAGCAACUGACGCUGAGGCGCGAAAGCGUGGGGAGCAAACAGGAUUAGAUACCCGUGUA
rnacentral:rRNA from 1 species